UUAAGCGACUAAGCGUACACGGUGGAUGCCCUGGCAGUCAGAGGCGAUGAAGGACGUGCUAAUCUGCGAAAAGCGCCGGCGAGGUGAUAUGAACCUUUGACCCGGCGAUGUCCGAAUGGGGAAACCCAGUGUGUUCCGACACACUAUCGUUAACUGAAUACAUAGGUUAACGAGGCGAACCGGGGGAACUGAAACAUCUAAGUACCCCGAGGAAAAGAAAUCAACCGAGAUUCCCCCAGUAGCGGCGAGCGAACGGGGAGCAGCCCAGAGUCUGAAUCAGCUUGUGUGUUAGUGGAAGCGUCUGGAAAGUCGCACGGUACAGGGUGACAGUCCCGUACACGAAAAUGCACAGGUUGUGAACUCGAAGAGUAGGGCGGGACACGUGGUAUCCUGUCUGAAUAUGGGGGGACCAUCCUCCAAGGCUAAAUACUCCUGACUGACCGAUAGUGAACCAGUACCGUGAGGGAAAGGCGAAAAGAACCCCGGCGAGGGGAGUGAAAAAGAACCUGAAACCGUGUACGUACAAGCAGUGGGAGCACCUUCGUGGUGUGACUGCGUACCUUUUGUAUAAUGGGUCAGCGACUUAUAUUCUGUAGCAAGGUUAACCGUAUAGGGGAGCCGAAGGGAAACCGAGUCUUAACUGGGCGUUAAGUUGCAGGGUAUAGACCCGAAACCCGGUGAUCUAGCCAUGGGCAGGUUGAAGGUUGGGUAACACUAACUGGAGGACCGAACCGACUAAUGUUGAAAAAUUAGCGGAUGACUUGUGGCUGGGGGUGAAAGGCCAAUCAAACCGGGAGAUAGCUGGUUCUCCCCGAAAGCUAUUUAGGUAGCGCCUCGUGAACUCAUCUUCGGGGGUAGAGCACUGUUUCGGCUAGGGGGCCAUCCCGGCUUACCAACCCGAUGCAAACUACGAAUACCGAAGAAUGUUAUCACGGGAGACACACGGCGGGUGCUAACGUCCGUCGUGAAGAGGGAAACAACCCAGACCGCCAGCUAAGGUCCCAAAGUCAUGGUUAAGUGGGAAACGAUGUGGGAAGGCACAGACAGCCAGGAUGUUGGCUUAGAAGCAGCCAUCAUUUAAAGAAAGCGUAAUAGCUCACUGGUCGAGUCGGCCUGCGCGGAAGAUGUAACGGGGCUAAACCAUGCACCGAAGCUGCGGCAGCGACACUAUGUGUUGUUGGGUAGGGGAGCGUUCUGUAAGCCGUUGAAGGUGUGCUGUGAGGCAUGCUGGAGGUAUCAGAAGUGCGAAUGCUGACAUAAGUAACGAUAAAGCGGGUGAAAAGCCCGCUCGCCGGAAGACCAAGGGUUCCUGUCCAACGUUAAUCGGGGCAGGGUGAGUCGACCCCUAAGGCGAGGCCGAAAGGCGUAGUCGAUGGGAAACAGGUUAAUAUUCCUGUACUUGGUGUUACUGCGAAGGGGGGACGGAGAAGGCUAUGUUAGCCGGGCGACGGUUGUCCCGGUUUAAGCAUGUAGGCGGAACGAUUAGGUAAAUCCGGUCGUUUAUUAACGCUGAGGUGUGAUGACGAGGCACUACGGUGCUGAAGUAACAAAUGCCCUGCUUCCAGGAAAAGCCUCUAAGCAUCAGGUAACAUUAAAUCGUACCCCAAACCGACACAGGUGGUCAGGUAGAGAAUACCAAGGCGCUUGAGAGAACUCGGGUGAAGGAACUAGGCAAAAUGGUGCCGUAACUUCGGGAGAAGGCACGCUGAUAUGUAGGUGAAGCCCCUGCGGGUGGAGCUGAAAUCAGUCGAAGAUACCAGCUGGCUGCAACUGUUUAUUAAAAACACAGCACUGUGCAAACACGAAAGUGGACGUAUACGGUGUGACGCCUGCCCGGUGCCGGAAGGUUAAUUGAUGGGGUUAGCGGCAACGCGAAGCUCUUGAUCGAAGCCCCGGUAAACGGCGGCCGUAACUAUAACGGUCCUAAGGUAGCGAAAUUCCUUGUCGGGUAAGUUCCGACCUGCACGAAUGGCGUAAUGAUGGCCAGGCUGUCUCCACCCGAGACUCAGUGAAAUUGAACUCGCUGUGAAGAUGCAGUGUACCCGCGGCAAGACGGAAAGACCCCGUGAACCUUUACUAUAGCUUGACACUGAACACUGGUCUUUGAUGUGUAGGAUAGGUGGGAGGCUUUGAAGUGUGGACGCCAGUCUGCAUGGAGCCGUCCUUGAAAUACCACCCUUUAAUGGCUGGUGUUCUAACGUAGACCCGUAAUCCGGGUUGCGGACAGUGUCUGG
rnacentral:rRNA from 1 species